GAUGAACGCUGGCGGCGUGCCUAAUACAUGCAAGUCGAGCGAACAGAUAAGGAGCUUGCUCCUUUGACGUUAGCGGCGGACGGGUGAGUAACACGUGGGUAACCUACCUAUAAGACUGGGAUAACUUCGGGAAACCGGAGCUAAUACCGGAUAACAUUUGGAACCGCAUGGUUCUAAAGUGAAAGAUGGUUUUGCUAUCACUUAUAGAUGGACCCGCGCCGUAUUAGCUAGUUGGUAAGGUAACGGCUUACCAAGGCGACGAUACGUAGCCGACCUGAGAGGGUGAUCGGCCACACCGGAACUGGGACACGGUCCAGACUCCUACGGGAAGCAGCAGUAGGGAAACUUCCGCAAUGGGCGAAAGCCUGACGGAGCAACGCCGCGUGAGUGAAGAAGGGUUUCGGCUCGUAAAACUCUGUUAUUAGGGAAGAACAAACGUGUAAGGAACUGUGCACGGCUUGACGGUACCUAAUCAGAAAGCCACGGCUAACUACGUG
rnacentral:rRNA from 1 species